CUCUUCCAUGCUGGCUGCAGUCUGGGAGGCGUUGGGCCCAGCUUGGCCUGUGAAAGCUGAAAGCCCACACCCCCUAGUCAGAGGCUGGUUUAGCUACUCCCCUAGUUUAGCUACUCUUGGGGCAGUGAAGGCCCUGGGGCUCGAAGACCUCCCCAGGCAACCUUACCCUGCACACACCCCACUCCUCCUGGCCUGUUCAGGGGUGGUCCCUGGUCUCCGUGCUCCUUGGCACAGGCCAGUGCCCUCUACCUCUGCCACCACAUCCCUGGCAGUGGAGGUCCAAGUCCUGGCUGUCCCCCCUCUCACCAGUGGGGCCAGGGAUCCUGGCUCUACCCGCUAUGACUUGGUUCAAUGGCCCAUCGCCUCUGCAACUGACUCUGAGGGCAUUGGAGCAGACAUCAAGCCCCACCCUGCCCAGGCCCAUGCCUGGCACCUGGUUUCCACGACGAGGCGCAGCUGUGGCUCCGACUGUGGCAGGGCUGGGAAGCAGGGGGCCUUUGUCAGGCUCACGGCCUGAGGUUUCUGGCCUCUGUGAUCUCCCCUGGGAACAGGACGGGGACCGGGCCGCACUCCAGCCUGCCCUUCGUGAGUUUCCUGAGGUGUCCUGCAAUGGCCAGAUUCGACGGAGAAGCCAGUCAGCUCCCUUGUCCCCUCACUGAUUCCUGGCACUCUGCUCCCUCUCGUGGCCUAGUCUGCCUCUACACCAGCAGAGACCUCCCUGCCCUGCGGCCACCAGGAAUCCAUGCAGCGUGCAUGCCCCACCAUAGCUCCACCGCCACCAGGAAUUCAGGUGCUGCUGAAGCUGCAUCAAGAAAGCCCCAGCCCAGUCGCCUCCCCUAGAUGAAUGAGAGUGAGCUCUUUUCUAAUUGUGAAGGACAUGGCAGAUUGUAGCUGUGAAGACACUGUCAGGUCACUCUGUGGAAGUUUGAGGUGAGCCCUUCCAGGGUCACCUGGCCAUGGAGGACCCAGGCUCAGCCCAUCUUUCUUCACCAUCUGGGGGGGUUGGUGAUGGAGCCACAACAGCAGCGAGCAUCACAUUGUCUCAAAAUGUCAUCCGCGUGAGGGAAGGAGGGACGGCUCCUCCUUGGGUGCCUCCCUCUCCUUGGGAGGAAAACCCUUCUCAGAAGCCCCCAGAAUGUGUCUGCUGAGGUCCUGUGGUCCAGAGCUUGUUCCAGGACAAUGUGUACACUUCCGCUGGCAGGGGACAUGGGUGUCAUGACUGGCUGCCUGCCCACAGGUGAGCCCGUGGUAUCAUGGAUGCCCCAGAAGACACGAGACUCGUGGGUCUGAGACAAAGGGCCCUGUUUCUCAGCAUGAGCUUCAGCUGUGGCUCCUCUUGCCUACAAUCCCGUGGGGGCGACGGGAGUGCCUGGCGAUGCAGCACACACAGCUGGCAGGAGCCCACCCUCCCUCUGCCAUUACCCAGGAGGCCGCAGUGUGACAUCAAAAAUACUCUGCAACUUGGCCCAGGUUCACAUUCUGCAAAAGCUGUGAGCUUGCAAAUUGCCUUUGAUCCUAUAAGAGCCAUCAUGGUGAUCAAUUUCUUUCUACACAACGCCAGCACAUAUUUAACCCCCCACACGGAGCAACGUCCAGUUUAACCCGCACAGCAGCAACCCAGCCUCCAGCUCUGUCUCACCAAGCACGUGUCAACAAUUCUCUUCCUAGGUGAUUCCAGCAGCACAGCCUGGCAGCUCCUGAGCCCUUGGGAAGUUCUGCAGCUCGGCUUACCCAGGGCUGCCCUGGCCAAAGCCCCAGCCACUCUCCUUUACUGCAGAGAGCGGGACCGUGUCCCCCUUCAUCCCCCUAGAACGGUAGGGCUGGGAGCUGCGUCAGACCUGCCUCCACGUGCCUGUGGGAAGAGACGUCGGAGUCUGAUCGCAGACACAAGAAGAUCAGUCACCCAAAAAGAUAAAAUAUACUCGAACUUCCGACCCUUCAUCUUCCUUUCAGAACACACUCACAUUUUCUAUAGGAAAACAGCCUCAUAAUAAUAAAAACUCAAUUUAGCGAAAAAAAAAAAAAAAAAAA
rnacentral:lncRNA from 1 species